UACGUAGGGUGCGAGCGUUGUCCGGAAUUAUUGGGCGUAAAGAGCUUGUAGGCGGUUUGUCGCGUCUGCUGUGAAAAUCCGGGGCUCAACCCCGGACUUGCAGUGGGUACGGGCAGACUAGAGUGUGGUAGGGGAGAGUGGAAUUCCUGGUGUAGCGGUGAAAUGCACAGAUAUCAGGAAGAACACCCGUGGCGAAGGCGGCUCUCUGGGACGGUACUGACGCUGAGACGCGAAAAGCGUGGGGAGCGAACAGG
rnacentral:rRNA from 1 species